UACGGGGGGAGCAAGCGUUGUUCGGAUUUACUGGGCGUAAAGGGCGCGUAGGCGGUCGUGACAAGUCACUUGUGAAAUCUCCGGGCUUAACUCGGAACGGUCAAGUGAUACUGUCGGACUAGAGUACAGAAGGGGCAACUGGAAUUCUCGGUGUAGCGGUGAAAUGCGUAGAUAUCGAGAGGAACACCUGCGGCGAAGGCGGCCAUCUGGACCGUUUCUGACGCUGAGGCGCGAAAGCGUGGGGAGCAAACAGG
rnacentral:rRNA from 1 species